rnacentral:rRNA from 1 species
UACGUAGGGUGCGAGCGUUGUCCGGAAUUAUUGGGCGUAAAGAGCUCGUAGGCGGUCUGUCGCGUCGAUCGUGAAAACUUGGGGCUUAACCCUGAGCUUGCGGUCGAUACGGGCAUGACUGGAGUUCGGCAGGGGAGACUGGAAUUCCUGGUGUAGCGGUGAAAUGCGCAGAUAUCAGGAAGAACACCAAUGGCGAAAGCAGCUCUCUGGGACGGUACUGACGCUGAGACGCGAAAGCGUGGGGAGCGAACAGG